UACGUAGGGACCGAGCGUUGUCCGGAAUCAUUGGGCGUAAAGAGCGUGUAGGCGGCCAGAUAGGUCCGUUGUGAAAACUGGAGGCUUAACCUCCAGCGGUCGAUGGAAACCAUUUGGCUAGAGUCCGGAAGAGGAGAGUGGAAUUCCUGGUGUAGCGGUGAAAUGCGCAGAUAUCAGGAAGAACACCCGUGGCGAAGGCGGCUCUCUGGAACGGUACUGACGCUGAGACGCGAAAGCGUGGGGAGCGAACAGG
rnacentral:rRNA from 1 species